CGUUUUUCGUCUGUAUAUGAAAAAUAUAGCCUGCCCUAUGACAAAAUAAUAAGUUAAAUGGCCGCGGUAUUUUGACCGUGCGAAGGUAGCAUAAUCAUUAGUCUACUAAUUGUGGACUGGUAUGAAUGGCUGGAUGAAUAAAAACUGUUUCUAAUUUAAAAAAUUGAAUUUUAGGUUUUUGUGAAGACGCUAAAAUAAAGCUAAAAGACGAGAAGACCCUAUUAAGCUUAACAUAAGAAUUCGGGUUUAUAGGUAAAUAGUCGGUUAAUGUUGUGUUGGGGCGACAGUAAGAUAAAAAAACUCUUACUAUAAGUGAUAUUUGUAGAUAUAGCAUAAUUAAUGAUCCGUAAGAUGCGAUUGUGAGAACAAGUUACUUUAGGGAUAACAGCGUAAUUUUACUGGAGAGCUCAUAUUGAUAGUAAAGAUUGCGACCUCGAUGUUGAAUUAGGAUACCUUUAGGGUGCAGCUGUUUUAGAAGGUAGUCUGUUCGACUAUUAAAAUCCUACA
rnacentral:rRNA from 1 species